rnacentral:lncRNA from 1 species
CCACCGGUUGGCUUUCCUUUUAUGGUUGAUAACCCAUCAGACAGGUCCAUCUUUUUUGUGACUUUUAGGAUGAGGAAGGCGCAUCUGGCUGUCUAUCAGGUAGUGCAGCUUGGAAUGCAGGUAGCUCAGAGUAUGCUUCAUGAAGUCUGGCAAGAGUAGGGUAAGGAGACUGCAAAACACCAAGCUGUUGUGAGUUCUCAAUUAAAUGCAUAUCAAACAUAAAGUUGAACAUAACCAUAACAUUGACUUAAGCACCGAAGUUACGAUAGAGGCUCUAAGACAAAUUCAAUCAAAAAACAUAAUCAUGUGUUUUCUUUGUAACACAGAGUUUGUCUGAGAACCAGUUGCAGAUACACCUAAAUAGAAAUUGCCAAGACAAUCAGAUUGAGGUAAUGCUACUGGCAUAACUUGGUGUUCCUAGAAAAAGCCCUGAUUUGCUCCCACCAAAAAAAAUAAGACUAUCAUGAUAUGAUGAAUCCUAUAUAUAUCUAUAUCUAUAUAUACUAUUUAUUGAGAUUUUAAUGCAUAUUUACAACGAAUGGUUCUUCAGUAAAACCAAAGUAAUACAGAGUAUAAGCAAAAAUACCAUGUCAAUUUGAAAACGCUUUACCCCUGCAUAGAUCUGAGGCUCCAGAAAGACAUCUGCCUGCACAUAGAACAACCAAGAAACAUCAAUUUUUGAUAAAUCAUUAAUGUAUAGGGGAGCUUACCAAUCAGGCAUGUGGCAACUGAAAUUUGUACUUCGCUGCCAGUGCAAGGAGUCAUGGAUGAGUGUAGCAGCUUACUCAACACAGAAGAACUUGUUUUAUAAUAUGCUGAUGGAAAAUUUUGCUCCUUUAUGAAUUAUUACAAUUAGUAAACAAAUGCCGCACAGUAUAAGCCGAAAGAUCAAUUAAGGCCUAGCAAGCUCCAUAUAUGAUUGCAAAGAUGGAUGUCUGUCAAUUAAAAUAUUAGAAACUAAUGCAUCAGAAAGAUGGCUCUAGUGAUCGAGAAGUUGAGGAGGGAGAGGUAACAGAUGCUUCCUUUCUACUUCCAGCAACCAUGCAGGGACUGCAAACAUCUAAUGAAGGAGAAUGUUGACAAUUGCAGCCAGACAACAGUCAACUGUUUUUUGUUGAACAGCUUCAAGCUUUAACUCAGCUGACAAUGAAGUUAGAAAAAUCCGCUUUUGGAACAUAUAUUAGGUUACUCAGUCAAAGAAACGCAGCUUUGGUUUUUCAAAAAUUAAAUAAAAUAUCUUUUUAGUAUCUUAAAAGAUCAUUGGUGAGAAAUAAAAUAAUAAAAAAUACAAUUAAUUGCUUAAAGUCAAAGUAAAUAGAACAGGAGACAACCACAGCUUAAAUUAGAUGAUUAUAGCAACCAAAAUUAAAAUUGCCAGGCAACAUAAAAUGUUACACGUUGAAGUCUCUUGAAGGAUUAAGAUCAAUAACCAUUAAGAUAAAUGUGUUUCUAAAGGGAUUGGGUCUUAAAAAUAGCAACAGCAUAGUAAGCGAUUAAUAUUUUUGGAAUGAUUAUAAGGAGAUUACCAGGCAAUAUUAAAUUUUACUGAUUAAGUCUCUGGAAGGAUUCAGAUCCAUAUGCAAUUCUAAGGGAAUUUGCACUUCAAAAAAUAACAACAUAGUGAGCAUUAUUGUUUGGAUGAUUACAGAGAGGUUUACAAAUGUAGUUCAUAAGAAUGUAUUUUCAAUCUCCACACAAAUUAUACAGAUUUUAUUCAUCCUCUAGUUAACCUCAUUCCUAAAACAUGUUGCAAAAGCAAACAAAAUGUUUAGAAGACAUACCAGUUGGACUUCAUCUCCUGUAGCAUAUUUUCCAGCACAGUCUUUUAACAGUUUCUCAAGGGCUGAAACACAAACAAAAAGGCACAAAAUCAGACAUACAAAAGCAAAGCCACAAUUGUCAGACCCAAAUCAAACACAUUUGACCACUCAAAACAACUAUAGAGCAGUUGAGAAGAACAUUAUGCAACAAGAAUAAAAAGAACGCCAAGCAAAAUAAAGUGGUCACUUUUGUGCUAUCAGCUGCAUAAUUUAUUCUUGAUAUUAACACUUGAACUAUGACAUUUGUUCUACUCUGAAUUUUAGUAUUUCCCAGGAAAACCCUAAUGAAGCAUAUGAUUCAUUUCUCAAAAAUUCAUAUCUCAAUGAAGCUUGUAUAAGAUUUCAACACAUCUGCUUGUAUAGGACUUCGAAUCAUAGUGAUCCAUAGUAUACAAAUCCAAGAGCCAAUAUGAGCAUCGCUCAGACCUUAUAGAGCAAGAAUUUCUUUUCCAUAUUUAAAACGACAUCCCAGAUAAUUCACUUACAACAAAGUGACACAUCACUAGGUAUACAUAACUUUUCUGAGACAAAGUAUUAUGAAAAGCAAACUUCGCAUUACAGUGACCUGCAAGAUUAUUGUAAAAACAACAGCACCUGAUGAUGGUUCAGCCUGAUGCCUGGAACACAAAAAGGUGCAAGAAGUUCAUCUUAAAGUAGAGAAGGAUAACAAGAAGAUAGUUUUGUUAAUUAAUAUAUUCCAAAAGGGUCCAGAGUACUCUAUUUUAAUAAAAUAGUUAAAGAAUUCAUUGAAACCAAGGUAGAUCUAGAAUCAUGAAUUUCCUUAACAUGUGUGAAAGGCUAGCAUGGUUGUUGUAGGAUUUUGUAGUAAAAAAUAAAUUCCUCUAACCAUCCCUUAUUUGUAACAAGAAAGCUAAGGAGCUUGAGAUUAGGCUUGUGAGUUUUCUAUUUUUAUUAAAAAGAAAAAGGAAUCAUUCAAAAUGUUUUCCCUCUGUCAAGGAUGUGCUAAUUCCAUCUGUCCUACAAGAUCUCCUAGAGUCUAUUCUAGCACAAAUAACAAUGUAACAGUGCAUUUGGCUAGAGAGGUUGAUGCACAAAAAAGCAGAAUGCAAGCACUAAACUCACAACGAGCAUAGUAAAAGCUAUAUCAAGAAGGCAAGUCGUAUUAAAGCAAGGUUGGUGCUGCAGGAGUACAACAUACCAAUCCAGAAUAAACAUAUGCAGGUGACGUGCAAACCAUAAGAAAAAAGGUUCUCAUGAAGAGAAUAAAAUCUAAUGGGUCAAGGAGGGAAAAAUAACAUGAAGUGUCAUUCUUGGCACUUAAAAAGGUUCGAAGUGGGUGUUAGUAGUCCUAAUAGAGCAUGCAAUGUCUUGACAAAAUCUUGACGGUCAAAAAUGGUAGUUCUCGCUACAACAGCAAGAAUGGAUAAGGAAUGUUUUUAGCUUUUGAACCUUAAUUAUUCCUCCCAUUCUCUUUAUUUUUCCUGCAAUGUUCAAAGUGGCAAUAGAGCAAUACAAAUUUCAUACGUACGUCCAUUCCUGAUUACAUUCAACAAGUAACUGCAUCUAUAUCAGUUAUAGAGGAACAAUAAUGUUCACUGAUAAUUAAACUAACCUAUGAAGCCUUUAUUGAUAUGGUUCUGAGCCCAUUUAAGUCUCUCAUCAGCAUUGAACUUUGACUUUAUCCAACUCUGCAAUGUGAUUACCAACACAGAGAAAGACCAAAUUUCAUGUCAAAUGUAUCAAAGGAGCAUAAUGGUGAUUGUGGGAAUAAAUACCGAGUUUUGAAAGCAGCAAUCAACCUUCUUUUAACUCACCAGGACAGGAAGAUUCUGAAGAGGCUGGAUACUUGAACUCACAAUACUUGCUACCUAAAAUAAGUUAUAGAAAUUUGUGCUUGUCAAAAUCGCAAACAAAAGGUAUACAGCUUGAUAAUGCAGACAAAAGACUAUACAAAUAAAUCUCAAGAAAGGAAACUAAAUGGCUUGAUUUUGCAGAUAAAAGACAAUGAACAUUCUAUCUGCAUCCAAAGAGUUUUUAUAUAAUCAGUCCAACAACCUAACUUCACAAUAAUACUUAGUAUCAACUAAAUACUUAUAUCAACUAAACUAAGUGUCAACUAAUAGUAUCAGCCUAACCUUCAAUAAUCUUGAUCUUGCUAUCAUUUAUGGUUUACCUUCAAUUUUCCACAAAUACUUAGUAUCAACUAAACUAGGUCAGCAUGCUACUUCAUGCUAUCAGACUAUUAGCAGCAUACAACACUAAUAGCAUGUCCACUGAAGCCUUACCUGGAGAUUGAGGGCCUUCUUUUUAAGAUCUUGUGGCAAAAGUGGAUAUUGAGGAUACUUGUCUUCCAAAUACUGUCCAAGCCAAAGGCAAAUCAUUACCAUUACUACCAUGUUUAAGAGGCAAGCAGGUAAAAGCCAAUAAGUCAUGGGACUAUCAUGUACUCACCAGUACGAUUGCAAACGAGUCAGAAACCACUGUAUCCCCAUCCACCAAAGCCGGAACAUAUUUAACUGGAUUGAUCUUCUCAAAUUCUAGAAUUUACAUGUAGAAAGAUGAAUAAAAAUCCCAUUGUGAACAUAAAAUUAUUAGGCUAUCAAACAAAUAGAGCAACUCUAUCUCAGCCGAGAAAAGCUCGAAACAAGCUCGAACUGAAGCUAAAGAAAUCAAACUUGAACCAUAAAAAUAGGCUCAAAGUUAAUUUCAAGGCAAACCAAAAAUUAACCUAGCUCAAUCAGGCUCAGCUCAAUAUGGCUUCCAUAUAUAUAUAUAUAUUAUAUAUAUAUAUAUUAUAUAGAUGAUUAGCCGUUGGAGUAAAGCUUGAAUUAAUGUAUUUUGUUCAUUUUUUGAAUCAACCAACUAUUAAUACAUGCUCGAACCAUCAAGCUUGAAUCAAAUUAUUAUUCCAGCUUGAACAGAGCUUGGUUCAAGCUUGAGUUGAUUUUAGCUCACUCUAGAAUACUUGAGCUGCUUAAUUAGGCUUGUGUUCAGCUGGGUUCAAAAUUAAGCUCCCAAUAAUGGAAAAUAAAUCGAGCUUUAUCUCAAAAUUCAAGCUCCAAAUUAAGUUCAAACCAAGCUUGAUCAAGCUCAACUAGAUUGCAGCCCUGAAAACUACUUUAACAAACGCAAAGAAAAACAUAUGUAUCAUCUAGUUACCAUCAUAAGAUCCAAAAAUAAUGGCAACAACUAAAUCCACAAAAUUAACCCCAAAAUAGCAAGUCCUAUGGUAAAUUAUAUCCAUCAACACAAGCCCAUAUAGAAUUGUUUACCUGGAUUCGAUUGCUCGUCUUUUAGAAGGUUCACAGCCUUGUACUCAUAAUCCAAUCCUUCCAGAAAUAGAAACAUUUUAUAAUUUAAGUCAACUCCACAAAGAAUGAAAAAGAGGAAGAGCUAUAAAGGUGAGGAUAAUUAAUUACAAACAGAAUCAAAGGAAUCAUCCGAUACCGAAUCAAGAAAACUCGGUGAAUUCAUAAAAGCCUAGGCUUUCAUCAGAACGCAAAAUAUAAAAAUCCAACCUUUGAGAUUGAGAGCGAUCCGGACUCGCUGCGAGCACGAGCUCCGCCAGUAUGAGUAAAGCGUCAGGUUUGCCGGCGUCGCGAUCUCCUGGAAAAAAAAAAAAGAAAAUCGAAAAAAUUAGAAGAGAAUUGAGCUCAGGAGAUCCAAAAAAAUCUAGGAAUCUAAUCCAUGGAUCGAGUGAAGAAGUAAUGGGGGGAAAUAGGGGACGGUUGCCUUCGCCAUUGACGCCGGGAUGUCUUUGGAUGAGUUUUACUCGAAGCAAAUGGUAGGCGUAAAAAAAGGGGUCCAUUUCGAUGCUAAAAGGGCCGGCUUAUAUAAAUGGAGCCUAGGGCACCUAAGAGGCCAAAGGGGCCAGAGUGCAACGUGCCAACAUUGUGGUCAUCAGCGGAAAAUUUUAAUGACAGCCAUAUUUUAUUAGUAGCUUCAACCUUGUUAGGUAUACAUAUAUAGAAUUAUUUCUGGUAAAUACUUUGAUUGGAUAUUAGCUUUUACAGAGCAAAGCUGAUUAGACUCAUGGUCAAAGAUGAGGGAAAAUGUUAGCCGUAGGAGAGAAUGACAAAUUAGAUCGUUGAUCAGAUGUGAGCUAUAUUUCUGGUAAAGCUUUUGAUUGGAUACUAGGCUUUAUGGUGCAAAAAUAAUAAGAGUAUGUUUGGUUGCAAACAUAAACUAUUCUGGGUAAAGUAGAGCUUUGGCCGAAGACGGAAAAAAUAGUGGUCGGAGACACCGAUACAUUGGAUCUUUGGCCAGAGAUGAGCUAAGCACUAUCGUCAUAAACGAAUAUAUAUAUAUAUAUAUAUAUAUAUAUAUAUAUAUAUAUAUAUAUAUAUAUAUAUAUAUAUAUAUNNNNNNNNNNNNNNNNNNNNAGUAGGAGUAACCCCACCUCACAGGCCAUACAAGUCAAAUGAUUGUAGUUUUUAUUUUCUAAUUCCAAGGAGAAGAUUAGAUUGGAUGGAUAUGGCUGAGCCACUUGCUUUACAAGGCCAACCACUGAUAAUUACUCAGACUCGAGAGAAUUUCCCUAACUUGUUUUAUGCCAGAAGAUGCACAACACACACAACAGAAAUAUAUGACUUAGAAAUUCCAGCCUUCACCAUUCAUUAUUGGUUCUCCGUUGGGAUUUAUUUCAUGAGGAUCAUAAGCUACCAACACAACCUUGGAUCAUGUUAAUGAAACCAAUAAAAAUGCAAAGUAGUUGGUAGGACUUGAGAUGGACAUGAGCUGGCUUUGAGCCCUCCAGACAGGGUUGCCGCUGGGCCAGGCCGGAGAUGGGGAUUACAAGCUUUUGGGUUAACUUCGGCCCUAAAUUGAAGCCUACAAUUAAAUUUGGCAAUGGUGUGGUUGAGGCCAUCGUAAGAGGACGGAAGACUGGAUGACUCCGGGUAUAGGCAUCCAAUGCUCUUCAUGUUUUGCCAAUACAUUGUUGAAGUUGGCUACUGUUGCUAAUUAAAAUGCUUCUGCAUAUUUUGCCAAAUUGUUGUUCUUAAGUUGCUUAUAGAAUGAUUUAGUUUUCUCUCAGCAGCAUAUUUUACGUUGCUUAUAGAAAGAUUUAGUUUUCUCUCAGCAGCAUGUUCUUAAGAGCUGAUAUUAUUUCAAUUUUCAGGCAUAAAAAAUUAGUUUGAUGCAAAAGAACUUCAAAAGUCUUGGCGCCCCAUUGCAAUUACAUGGAAUAUAACCUUGGUGUUCUGACUUCUGAUUGCAGUAUCAUUCUCAUAUUUAGACAAAGUUUUAUUUUUUUUCAAAGAGAAAAAUAGAAACCUUGAAAGAUUUGACAAAAAAAUUUAAAGAAAAGAAUUUGGUAGGGGCCGCGCGGACGCGUACCCCCUCUACCACAAAUUAUGACGUCCACUCUCCCACUUGGGGAGAUGGUAGAGCAGCGCUCCCGCCAAGUGCAAUGCGGGCCGCUACCCUAGGCCGCGGGCCUUCUUGAUCACCCAUCGACCCCGUCCAGGUAAGUAUAUUUCUCAUCAGCCCAUCAACUAAUUUUAUAUAGAACGGAGACCCCUCUUGUUUCGUAAGCAAACGAUGUGGGACUAAUAAAGCAACAAAGAAUGCCAUUAAUAAAUAAAUAGAGAACAGAAGAUUACUGGGGAAAUUAGAUCGCUAUAUUCAUAAAUCAAAUAAACAGCACAAAUUUCAGCUCCUUUUCGAAUACCAGACGUAAUAAGAAGAACUUUUGGGGUUUAAGACCCUUAGCACCUUUCAACAAUGGCCAUACUAGUGGCUAAUGUUUAGCUAAUUUCAUCUUUAUGAUUUUUUGACACUAGAGCAUCUCCGACCAUUCUUGCUAUGUCCGUAUGCUUCGCAAGAAGAAAGAACAGUGGAUGUUCAACUACUGAGACUCUAGAAUGAUUUCAAGAUUUGAGCAUCCACUUGAGUUUGUCGUGGAUACGGCAGUGACGAGUACAAGCUUGGUUUCAAUACGAGAUGUGGCGAUUCAGUUAAGGUGAUUUUUUUGCCUUUUUUGUCCAAUCGAAAGGGAGGCAAGUGAGAGCCAACCGGCCGGCUUUUGUUGAUUGAUUAAAAGCUGUUUACGAGUGAAGAAAAGUAGGGGAAAAAAAAACAUAGAGCAAAGAAAAUACCAAAAAAAAUAAAAGUUAAUGGAAGGAGAUCUUAGAACUCCCCACAGUGACAAUAUGAGAGAAAAAAUUUCGGCGCUCGUCCGGGUAUCCUCUCAGCAACAAAAAUGCCCAACCAUUUCAGCGUUAUGUAAAGAAUUGAUAAGAAUUUUCAGAAGAUUCUUUUCCCUCAAAAAAAAAAAAAGAACAGAAUAUCUCCACUGCAUGAGAAUCAAAUAUUUAGCAGUGUACUAAGAAUUUUUUGAUUUCAGGAUCUAUCCAAAUGCUAGCAAAGGCUUAUGAUUACAUUGAAUUGACCGUUCAUUGAGUGAGUGAAGGCCAGCUGAAGCCUAUGUUUCUUUCCUUCCAACAAACCCACAUGCAAUGGCCACAAAUAUCUUAGGAUAAUAGGCUGAAAAAGUUUGGAUAAAUUUUUUUUCAUUUCCUCCGAUCAAUACAAAGCUUUGCCUAAGAGGGUUGAAGAUGUAACACUCCAAGAGAACAACAAAUCCCUUUCCAAAUGGUAAAGAAGAUUGGCCAUGUCGAGAGCAAGUGAUCCACAACCUAUGAUGAUCCAGCCCAUUGGUCCAUUUGAUCAGCCUGAUAGAUCUGAGGCUCUUGGGUCUCUUUACCCCUGCAUAGAUCUGAGGCUCCAAAAAGACAUCUGCCUGCACAUAGAACCACCAGGAAACAUCAACUUUUGAUAGAUCAUUAACAUCUAAUGAAGGAGUUUUGACGAUUGCAGCCAGACAACAGUCAACUGUUUUUUGUUGAACGGCUUCAAGCAUUAACUCAGCUGACCAUGAACUUAGAAAAAAACCGCUUGUGGAACAGACGUCAGGUUACCCGAUCAAAGAAACACAGCUUUGAUUUUUCAGAUAUUAAGUAAAUAAAAUAUCUUUUUAGCAUCAUGAAAUAUCAUCGGUGAGAAAUAAAAUAAUAAAAAUUACAAUUAACUGCUUAAAGUAAAAGAGUAUAGAAAGGGAGACCACCACGGCUUGAAUUAGAUGAUUAUGGAAACCAAAAUUAAAAUUUCCAGGCAACAUAAAAUGUUACACAUUGAAGUCUGUUGAAGGAUUAAAAUCAAAAUGUGUUUCUAAAGGAAUUGGGACUGAACAAUAGCAACAAUAUAUUGAGCAAUUACUAUCUUUGGAAUGAUUACAAGGAGAUUGCCAGGGAAUAUUAAAUUUUACCAGUUAAGUCUCUGGAAGGAUUCAGAUCCAUAUGCAAUUCUAAGGGAAUUGACACUUCGAAAAAAUAACAACAUAGUGAGCAUUAUUUUUUGGAUGAUUACAG